rnacentral:rRNA from 1 species
AUUGAACGCUGGCGGAAUGCCUUACACAUGCAAGUCGAACGGCAGCACGGACUUCGGUCUGGUGGCGAGUGGCGAACGGGUGAGUAACAUAUCGGAACGUAUCCAAUAAUGGGGGAUAACGAGUCGAAAGAUUCGCUAAUACCGCAUACGCCCUACGGGGGAAAGCUGGGGACCUUCGGGCCUGGCGUUAAUGGAGCGGCCGAUACCUGAUUAGCUAGUUGGUGAGGUAAAGGCUCACCAAGGCGACGAUCAGUAGCUGGUCUGAGAGGACGACCAGCCACACUGGAACUGAGACACGGUCCAGACUCCUACGGGAGGCAGCAGUGGGGAAUUUUGGACAAUGGGCGCAAGCCUGAUCCAGCCAUUCCGCGUGAGUGAAGAAGGCCUUCGGGUUGUAAAGCUCUUUCGCAAGGGAAGAAAACUUAGCCACUAACAUUGGUUGAGGUUGACGGUACCUUGAUAAGAAGCACCGGCUAACUACGUGCCAGCAGCCGCGGUAA